UUUUCCACAAUAAGCAGGCCACUCCUCCUUCCAUCUCCAAUGGGCUUUGGGAAAGGUAUAAAAGCGCCACAACCAUCUUCUGCGUCAGGACCAGUUGAAGUGCAAUAUUGAAGCCUGUACUGUACGAUUCAGGAUCCAGACUCUAACCUCAAGGCAUGUUGACCAGGAAUUUUCUCAUCCUCUGCUCUCUGGCAGUUCUGCUAGUACAAGCUGACUUCGAUACUAAUAACGAUCAUGCUGCCCAAGCCAUGUCCACAGAUAAGGACUCAACCUCGGAGGAAGCUCCAACUGAGAGCAUAAAUGCCAUCUCCUCGGAUCAGCCUAACGCUCCUAAACCUAAUGGGGUCACUGGACCUGGUGUUGCAGCAAACAGUGUUGAGGACCAGGAGGGAAAGUUAGUUGGGCCAGCAGGUGGGAACCGGAGAAAGGCCCCAGCCCCACAACAAAAGAGGAGAUCACGACCCUCCCGCCGUCAGCAGUGAAAUGCCAAAAAGACACACAGAGGCAAACAUUUACUUUUAGUUAAUUGCAUAGAAGAAACAUAUUGUAUCCAAUUACUGUAUAUGCCAUAACAUGAACGUGUACAGAACCGUACUCGCAUGAUGAAGCUGCUUCGAUGUAUCUUGAGCAGCAGAACAGUCAGCAAGACAUGACAUAUUGUUUACUGUUACGUCUGUGGAAAAACUCAGUGGUAUGUUCAAUACAAACUCAUGGGCAUUUCUCUGUGAAUAAAAUGUAGGAUUAAAUGAACAAUGUAUUGUGAUGACAUAAAACCAGGCCUAAUAUCAUAACUGACCUUGACCUUAAGAGCCACUGAAACUGCUCUAAAUUCACCAUCCUGUUUCAAAAUAGCAAGGACCUCACUCCCAUGAAAAUACCUCAAUUUCUAAAAGAGCACACACAUCGCACCAAAUGUCGGUCGGCGUUCGUUCGGCGGGGUGUGUUUUAUGGACCACUUGCCGGUGGGCGUCUGACUGCCAACAUUUUCGCGUGGUUUGCACUCGGUUUGCAAAUUACAGCUGGCACUCUGUUCAGAGGUGCUAAGUACUCUCGGGUGGCAAAAGCUACCGGUGUGUCAGUGCCUUUAGAGAGACUCUUGCUAUUUUGAUCAUGAGCCAGUUGGUGGAAAUAUGGAGUUACGAACUAGCAAUACAAACUGUUGUUAGCUAAAGUGAAAAGACUAGAUAUUCUUUACAGAAAAAGGCUAAAGAAACCCCAUAAUUUCUCUCAGAGUUGAUGAGGAUACCUUUGACUGAUGCUGCCUACACAAAGACUGUUAUACUGUCCUCAGUCAGCAUAUCUUUUAGUGGAUAGUCUUUCAAAACAACCCUGCUCUCGAACACAAAACCAGUGUUUCAGUCAAAAGUGUUUCUUUCUUUUUUCUAAUCGUCAUUUUUAUACACACAGUAUUCAACACAUUAUGUAUGAAACAUGUUUGAUGAAUAUCAAUUUCAAAACAUGUUUAAGUGUAAACCUCUGUAUCUUACAUCAUAUCUUUCUAAAUAAACUUCUUUCAGC
rnacentral:lncRNA from 1 species